rnacentral:rRNA from 1 species
UACGAAGGGGGCUAGCGUUGCUCGGAAUUACUGGGCGUAAAGCGCACGUAGGCGGAUUGUUAAGUCGGGGGUGAAAUCCUGGAGCUCAACUCCAGAACUGCCUUCGAAACUGGCGAUCUUGAGUCCGGGAGAGGUGAGUGGAACUGCGAGUGUAGAGGUGAAAUUCGUAGAUAUUCGCAAGAACACCAGUGGCGAAGGCGGCCAUCUGGCUCGGUACUGACGCUCAGGUUCGAAAGCGUGGGGAGCAAACAGG